rnacentral:tRNA from 1 species
GGAGAAGUAGUUAUAAUAUUGAAAAUUAAGGGUUUUCUUUAGGUGGUUCCCUUCUCUU